rnacentral:lncRNA from 1 species
CUUGCCACCACCAUGUAAGAAGUGCCUUUCACCCUCCACCAUGACUGUGAGAACUUCCCCAGCCAUGUGGAACUAUGGCAGAAGCAAUUCUUCAGUGAAGGCUUCAAGCAACACCUCCAAACUUCUGACACAUCUGGGAAGCGGUACUGUAGAGCUGACCUACCUUGAAUGAGACCUUUAAAUGUGAGUAGUUUUUACUGACUUUCUCAGAGUCACAAAUAGCAGUAGAUUUUGUUGCUGCGCUUGCAAUCAUGUGAAAAAAAAUGCAAGUUUCACAUGUGGACAGUGAGGAAAUGAUUCUUGGUCUUACUUUGUGCUCUUCAAUCCCACCCAAAGUGCAGUCAACACCACACAGUAAAAGAACGUUUUACUCAAGUUGGUGGCUCAGACAGGCAAGCUGAAGACCAAAAGAAUAAGAAAAUAAAGUUGAUUUUUUGAAAUCUAACUAUUAACCACACUGGCAUGUGUGAAUUAACUUCUGCAGUGAACCAGAAACUUUUCUGCAAAUAUGAGGACAAAGAGUUUGGGAACUCCUCAAACACUUAUUAAGGUAUCUUGGUUGUGAAAUCAGGAAGGUGGGAUAGGACUAGGAUUGGAAUGGGG